UGGGCACUGUCACAGGGGCUGCCCGGGGAGCUGGCCAAGGCGGUGGCCGGCAGCUGGGUGCUGGUGGUGGGCACGGGCGGCAUCAGUUAAGAGCUCCUCAAGAACCUGGUGCCCACUAACUUCUUCUACAUCGACCUGAUUGAUCUGGAUACUAUUGAUGUCAGCACCUCAACAGGCAGUUUUUGUUUCAAAAGAAACAUGUUGGAAGAUCAAAGGCUCAGGUUUCCAAAGAAAGUGUACUCCAGUUCCACCCAAGGGCUAACACUGUCACUUACCACGACAGCAUCAUUAACCCAGACUAUAAUGUGGAAUUUUCCCGGCAGUUUAUAUUGGUUAUGAAUCCCUUAGAUAAUAGAGCUGCCCCCAAACCAUGUUAAUAGGAUGUGUCUGGCAGCUAUGUGCCUCUUUUUGAAAGUGGGACUGCUGGUUAUCUUGGACAAGUGACUACUAUCAAAAAGGGUAUGACUGAGUGUUACGAAUGUCAUCCUAAGCCAAUCCAGAGAACGUUUCCUGGCUGCACAAUUCAGAACACCCCUUCAGAACCUAUUCACUGCAUCGUUUGGGAAAAGUAUUUGUUCAACCAGCUUUUUGGAGAGGAAGAUGAUGAUCAAGAAGUAUCAACUGACAGAGCUGAUCCUGAAGCUGCUUGGGAACCAACAGAAGCUGAAGCCAGAGCCUGAGCAGCUAAUGAAGAUGGAGACAUUAAGCGUAUUUCCACUAAGGAAUGGGCUAAGUCAACUGGCUGUGAUCCAGUUAAACUGUUUACGAAGCUUUUUAAAGAUGACAUCAGGUAUCUACUGACAAUAAUAAACUGUGGCACAAAAGGAAGCCUCCAGUUCCCCUGGAUUGGGCUGAAGUACAGAGUCAAGGAGAUAAAGCCAAUGCAUCCGAUCAACAAAAUGAACUGCAGUUAGGUUUGAAAGACCAGCAGGUUCUAGAUGUAAAGAGCUAUGCAAGUCUUUUUUUCAAAGAGCAUUGAAACUUUGAGAGUUCUUUUAGCAGAAAAGGGGGGUGAAGCUGAGGUCAUAUGGGAUAAGGAUGAUCCAUCUGCAAUGGGUUUCAUCAUCUCUGCUGCAAACCUCAGGAUGCAUAUUUUCAGCAUGAAUAUGAAGAGCAGAUUUGAUAUAAAAUCAAUGUCAGGAAACAUUAUUCCUGCUACCACUACUACAAAUGCAGUGAUUACCGGAUUGAUAGUAUUGGAAGGAUUAAAGAUUUUGUCUGGAAAAACAGACCAGCGUAGAACAAUUUUUUUGAAUAAACAAUCAAACCCAAGAAAGAAGCUCCUUGUGCCUUGUGCACUGGAUCCUCCCAAUCCCAAUUGUUACGUGUGUGCCAGCAAGCCAGAGGUGACUGUGCAGCUGAAUAUCCAUAAAGUGACCGUCCUCACCUGACAGGAUAAGAUAGUGAAAGGAAAGUUUGCUAUGGUGGUGCCAGAUGUCCAAAUUGAAGACAGGAAAGGGACAAUCCUAAUAUCUUCAGAAGAGGGAGAGACUGAAGCUAAUAAGCCCAAGUUUUCAGAAUUUGGAAUUAGGAAUGGCAGCUGGCUUCAAGCAGAUGACUUUCUUCAGGAUUAUACUUCACUGAUCAACAUCCUUCAUAGUGAAGACCUAGGAAAGGAUGUGGAGUUUGAGGUUGUUGGUGAUGGCCCAGAAAAAAUGGGACCCAAACAAGCUGAAGACACUGCCAAAAGCAUCACCAAUGGCAGCGAUGACAGUGCUCAGCCUUCUACCUCCACGGCACAAGAGCAAGAUGAUGUGCUCAUCAUUGACUCAGAUGAAGGACCUUCAAAUAAUGCUGACAUUAGUGAGGAUGAGAGGACUCGCAAGAGGAAACUGGAGGAAAAGGAGGGUGGCAGUGCCAAGAGGUCUUGCUUGGAGCCACUGGAAAAGCUUGAUGACAUCAUAGCAUUAGAUUGA